rfam:Salmo salar isolate Sally breed double haploid chromosome ssa07, whole genome shotgun sequence.
UGAAUUCACUACUGUAAGUCACUCUGGAUAAGAGCGUCUGCUAAAUGACUAAAA